rnacentral:tRNA from 1 species
GACAAUAAAGCAUAGAUAAUGCAUCAAUUCGCAAAAUUGAAGACCGUAAAAACUACUAUUGUCU